rnacentral:rRNA from 1 species
AUUGAACGCUGGCGGCAGGCCUAACACAUGCAAGUCGAACGAGCGGCGGACAGGUGAGAAAUGUCUGGGAGACUCCCUGCUGGAGGGGGAUAACUACUUUAAACGGUAGCUAAUAACGCAUACCAUCAGAUGUGCCCAGAUGGGAGUAGCUAGUAGGUGGGGUAACGGCUCACCUAGGAGACGAUCCCUAGCUGGUCUGAGAGGAUGACCAGCCACACUGGAACGGAGACACGGUCCAGAAUCCGACGGGAGGCAGCAGUGGGGAAUAUUGCACAAGGGGCGCAAGCCUGAUGCAGCCAUGCCGCGUGUGUGAAGAAGGCCUUCGGGUUGUAAAGCACUUUCAGCGGGGAGGCGUUACCCGCAGAAGAAGCACCGGAUAACUCCGUGCCAGCAGCCGCGGUAAUUC